CGCGGGAUGGAGCAGUUCGGUAGCUCGUCGGGCUCAUAACCCGAAGGUCGGUGAUUCAAAUCCGCCUCCCGCAA
rnacentral:tRNA from 2 species